GACGAACGCUGGCGGCGUGCCUAAUACAUGCAAGUAGAACGCUGAAGGAGGAGCUUGCUUCUCCGGAUGAGUUGCGAACGGGUGAGUAACGCGUAGGUAACCUGCCUGUUAGCGUGGGAUAACUAUUGGAAACGAUGGCUAAUACCGCAUAAGAGUAGAUGUCGCAUGACAUUUGCUUGAAAGGUGCAACUGCACCGCUACCAGUUGGAGCUGCGUUGUAUUAUCUAGUUGGUGAGGUAACGGCUCACCAAGGCAACGAUACAUAGCCGACCUGAGAGGGGGAUCGGCCACACUGGAACUGAGACACGGCCCAGACUCCUACGGGAGGCAGCAGUAGGGAAUCUUCGGCAAUGGACGGAAGUCUGACCGAGCAACGCCGCGUGAGUGAAGAAGGUGUUCGGAUCGUAAAGCUCUGUUGUAAGAGAAGAACGAGUGUGAGAGUGGAAGGGUCACACUGUACCGUAAUCUUACAAGAAAGGGCGGGCAACUUCCUG
rnacentral:rRNA from 1 species